CUAUGAAGGUGGAAGUGAAAAACAAAGUUCGUCUUGUAAGAUCGAUGACGUUGAGCUGUGUUACAUUCUGUAUUGAAACAGUAACAGAGCGACCAUACUUAAGGUUCGCGAGGAAUAUGUUCCCAUAUGCAUGGAGAUUGAUCUGCAUGGAUUAUCAGUCCCUUAAUGAUGGAACUCCUGAUGUGAGGAAUGCAGCUUUCUCAGCUUUGGCGGCUAUUUCCAAGAUGGUUGGCAUGAGACCUUUGGAAAAGUCUCCAGAAAAAUCCGGAUGAUGUCAGACAAAAGAAGUAUCUGAAAUGAUUGGGGGUCGAUGGGGGAUCCUUAUGCUCUUCCAAACUCAGGUGUGAUUCAAUCUUCUCGAGGAGUUAUGACAACGAGUUUCCUCUGAACUAGUAGAAUGGAUAUGAAGCAAACCACUUGCGGAUCUUUGCUGCAGCAACUGCAGCAAAUUUUGGAUAAAUUUGGUGAAAAUUACGAAGAGCGGGACAAAAUUCUUCUUCAAUUGGAUCAGGAGUGCUUGGAUGUGUACAAGAGAAAAGUUGACCUGACAUUGAAAUCUAGAGCCCACCUUCUUCAGACACUGGCAGAUGCUAGAGUUGAACUCACCAAUCUAUUAUCAGCUUUUGGAGAAAAGAAUUAUGUCGGAAAUGUAAGUGACGGACCUCAUGGUGUUCGAUAAUGACAUUUUCUUAAAGCUCUAGAAGUUAUAGCAAUGCGCCUGACAAGACGUCAGGAACGAACAAGGAACAGCUUCAAGGUAUAGCUCCUGCACUGGAUAAACUAUGGAAACAAAAGGAUGGGAAGAUAAAAGUGUAUUCUGAUGUUCAAUCUCAAAUACAGAACAUAUCUGCCGAGAUUGCUGGAACUAGUGUCCAGGUUAAGAAUAUCACAGUUGAUGAGGCCAAUCUAUCCAUGAAAAAAUUAGAUAGAGUUUAAUGCCCAGCUUCAAGAUCUUCAAAAGGAAAAGGUCUUUCUUGGUUUUUUAAGUUGACAGGCUGCACAAGUUUAUUGACUUGUCAGCACAGUUCACGAUCUUUGUUCUGUCCUUGCUCCUGGUGAUUUUUCAGAACUUUGUCGAACAUUAAAGAAGGUUAUCACCGAUGUUAACAUUACUGUGGGAAAAUAAAGAAAAAAAAGGAAAAAAAAAGAAAUAAAAAAGGAAAAAAGGGCAUCCUUGGUAGGGAUCCGAGAACCCUUCAUAAAAAAAAGGAAAUACAGGAAGAAAAAAAAAAGAAAAAAAAACAUUGCUGUUGCAGUUAAAGCUAUUCAAGCAUUGGGCAACUUUGCUAUGGAUCUGAGAACCCAUUUUUUGGCAAGAUGUCGCUUCUUAUUGCCUCUACUAUUGGAGAAAUUGUAGGAGAAGAAACCUACUUCAACUGAGGCCCUUACCCAAACUCUUCAGGCAAUGCCUAAGUCCAGAUGCUUGAGUGUAAAUGACACUGUUGAAG